CCUACGGGUGGCUGCAGUGGGGAAUAUUGGGCAAUGGGCGCAAGCCUGACCCAGCCAUGCCGCGUGAGUGAUGAAGGUCUUCGGAUCGUAAAGCUCUGUGGGAAGGGACGAAAAAACGGGGGUUAAUACCCCCCGGCUUGACGGUACCUUCUUAGCAAGCACCGGCUAACUCCGUGCCAGCAGCCGCGGUAAUACGGAGGGUGCAAACGUUGCUCGGAAUCAUUGGGCGUAAAGCGCACGUAGGCGGUUUGUUAUGUCGGAUGUGAAAGCCCUCG
rnacentral:rRNA from 1 species